rnacentral:rRNA from 1 species
UACGUAGGGACCAAGCGUUGUCCGGAAUCAUUGGGCGUAAAGCGCGUGUAGGCGGCUUCGUAAGUCCGUUGUGAAAGUCCAGGGCUCAACCCUGGAAUGCCGAUGGAUACUGCGGAGCUAGAGUCCGGAAGAGGCGAGUGGAAUUCCUGGUGUAGCGGUGAAAUGCGCAGAUAUCAGGAGGAACACCAAUGGCGAAGGCAGCUCGCUGGGACGGUACUGACGCUGAGACGCGAAAGCGUGGGGAGCAAACAGG